GUGCAGCAGUCGCGAAAACUCCGCAAUGCCCGAAAGGGUGACGGGGGAUUCCAAGUGCCUACGCUUAGCGUAGGCUGUUCAGGUGCCUAAAAAGCACCUGGAGGAAGGGCUGGGUAAGACGGGUGCCAUCUGCAGUGGUAACGAAAGAUUUGAUUUGCUACUGCAAGCCAUAAGCCGCCGCGGUAAUACCCGCAGCCCGAGUGGUAGUCGCUUUUAUUGGGCCUAAAGCGUCCGUAGCCGGUCUGGUAAAUGCCUGGGUAAAUCGUGGGGCUUAACCUCACGAAUUCCGGGUAGACUGCCAGACUUGGGACCGGUUGAGGGAGAGGGUACUUCAGGGGUAGGGGUGAAAAUUUUCCUUUCCAUUAACGCUUUGCGCGAAGCGGAAAGGGUUAUCACAAUCCUGUAAUCCCUGGAGGACCACCCGUGGCGAAGGCGCUCUCCUAAGACGGGUCCGACGGUGAGGACGAAAGCCAGGGAGCAAACCGGAUUAGAUACCCGCGUA
rnacentral:rRNA from 1 species